CCAUCCACACUCUAAUGUCAAGGACUAAGAUUGUGCCAGCUGACAAAGGAGAAAUGUUCCAGGGUCCAUCUCCUAUAGAACAAGAAAGGGCAAAGAGGGGUGGAUUUGGAACUGAGACAUUGAUAACUGGCAUAGUUUCAAAGCAGAUAGCAAAUGGACUCUCAGCUUGUGCUUAGCAAAAACAGCCUGCUUGUUAUCAUUUAUUCUACUCGCAUAUCACCAAGUACCAGAGGCCCCAGAGACGCGAUGACUGAUGAGGUAUGUGUUGAG